rnacentral:lncRNA from 1 species
CUUAAUGACUAGUCAUUGAUUUAGGAAGUUGUCCUGGAGCACCAAGUCUGGUAAGUUUUUAUGAAUUUGGAAUUACUUUAUAUAUUAUCAUAUUACCAAAGGGGAAAGCGCCUUAGAUAUGAGUGUUUUAAAUGUGUUUUCAUCUUUUCAUAGGAAUAUUAGAAGAAUAUGCUUCUCACUUUACAAAGUAGAAUGCCUAAUGUACUACCAAAAUAAAAUGAAAAGAAUGGACAGAAGAAAAGUAUCAAAUCAGAGAAGAGAGUUCAGCUCAUAUAAUGUUAAGAAUGUCAGUGAAGCAAGCUGUUUGUGGCCUAUGAAAUCUUAGAGGACUACACACUAUACUGAAAAUGCCUAGUGGAAAAAAGAGGCCAUGACUAAAUGAUUAAGAAUCCACAGCAGAGACACUUUUCAAAAGAAGACAUACAAGUGGCCAACAAACAAAUGAAAAGAUGCUCAACAUCACUAAUCAUCAGAGAAAUGCAAAUCAAAGCCACAAUGUGAAACCAUCUUAUACCAAUCAGAAUGACUGUUAUUAGAAAGUACAAAACAACAGAUGCUGGCAAGGAUGUGGAGAAAAGGGAAGGUUAAUACAGGAUUGAUGGUAAGGUAAAUUAGUUCUGACACUAUGCAGAGCAGUUUUGAUUCCUCAAAAAGACAAAAUAGAACUACCAUUCAACCCAGUAAUCCCAUUCCUGGAUAUAUAUUGAAAAGAAAAUAAAUUGUGCUACCAAAAAAAGACACAUGCACUUGUAUGUUCAUUUUAGCACUAUUCACAAUAGCAAAAACAUAAAAUCAACCUAGGUGCCCAUCAAAAGUGGAUUAGAUAAAGAAAAUACAGUACAUAUAUGUCAUAGGAUACUAUGCAGUCAUAAAAAGAAUGAAAUGUAUUUUGCAACAACAAGGAUGGAGGCCAUUAUCCUAAGUUAAUUAAUGCAGGAACAGGAAACUAAAUACCAUGUGUUCACACUUACAAGUGAGAGCUAAACAUUGGGUACUCAUGGACAUAAAGAUGGCAACAACAGACACUGGGGACUAUCAGAG